GCUGGCGUAGCUCAGUUGGUAGAGCAGCUGAUUUGUAAUCAGCAGGUCGUUGGUUCAAGUCCGACCGCCAGCU
rnacentral:tRNA from 1 species